rnacentral:misc_RNA from 1 species
GAUGAAGAACGCAGCGAAAUGCGAUAAGUAAUGUGAAUUGCAGAAUUCAGUGAAUCAUCGAAUCUUUGAACGCACAUUGCGCCCGCCAGUAUUCUGGCGGGCAUGCCUGUUCGAGCGUCAUUUCAACCAUCAAGCCCCCGGCUUGUGUUGGGGAUCUGCGGCUGCCGCAGGCCCUGAAAAGCAGUGGCGGGCUCGCUGUCACACCGAGCGUAGUAGCAUACAUCUCGCUCUGGGCGUGCUGCGGGUUCCGGCCGUUAAACCACCUUCAUAACCCAAGGUUGACCUCGGAUCAGGUAGGAAGACCCGCUGAACUUAAGCAUAUCAAUAAGCGGAGGA